AGAAGCAGAAGAGGCAUAAGAGGAAGAAAGGUAAAAGAAUGAGGGAGGAGGAGGAGGACGACGAGUCUGGGCCUGUGCAGAUCUCUAAGUAUCUAAAGGGGAGGAAGAGAGGGAGAAAGUACAGCAUGAUCUCAGGAAAGAAGAUCAAAAUGAAGGUGAAGAAAUCAAAGACAGACAAGCAGAGGGACAAAAACCGUGCCGAGCUGCUGGAGUUUCUCAAUUCUACCUACUGACGCAGACAACACCGCGCGUCAGGUUCCAGAAGCUUCCGCCUGUUCCUCUGAUCGGAGAUCUACGCUCACAACCAGUCAGCAACCUUCUCAGGGAAAGCCCAUCUUCCACCAAUAAGAUUUCUGUCUCUCUGUGUGCGUGUUUGCAGAGAGAAGUAGGAAUUUGAGACGUUAAGUGUUGGUUUGUCACGUCUCCACCCUCAGAUAGAAAACCAGAGAUGUUGUCUGUGUGACUUUAAGCGAUACAUUUCCCAUACGUUAAACCUGUGGACUGUGGAAGUGUGUUUCCCAUUGGUGUGUGCAGAUCCAGCAGGGUCUGGGAGUCUUGCUCCGGAAUUUUCUCAGCCCUGCCGUUCUGCUCACGUGUCCUUAGGGGACAGCGAUGUUUCCGUGCUGAAGAGAAAUGUGUUUGUAUUGUAACAUACUCUCAUUAUAAAGUGAACAAAUAUGUUUAAGUGUGAGAUAAUGUGUUGUGUGGUACACAGGUGCUCCACACACACAUUUCUAAACAUUGUAUCUCGUAUCUUCAGGUUUUAUGGAGUGCUUGUAAAGAUGCUAUUCAGAUUUAGAGGAGAAAACGUGUGUUAACCCUUUAGUCUCUGCAUACAUGCUAACGCAAAGAAUUGACACAAACACUUCCAGGAAAAAAAAGUUACCAGUUGGGGCUUUUAGGUUGAGUUCUCUGAUGUAACUCUUGUAACAGAAAUGGGAUGGGGUUAUUGUGAAGCCACAGACCGGCUGUGUUUUUCUCUGCACUGCUCCUCAGAGUCACCUGCCCUGGGUCCACAGCAUCACAAGACUG